UUUCUCUUCUUUCUAUUUUUCUACUUGGUAUCAGAGUCAAAGCUAGUUCUUGGUCUGCUUCCGCCGGCGGCGGCGGCUCUGCCGGCGCCGGAAUAUUGUGUCGGGUGUUUCAGCCCCUUGCAGCCCUUGCUGCCCCUUGUUGCUCCUUGCAACCUCUUGCUGCUGGGUGUUGUUGCUCCUUGCAGCCCCUUGCACCCCUUGCUGCCCCUUGUUGCCCACUUGCAGCCCUUGCUGCCCCGGACUGUCUGUUGCAGCCUUUGCUGCCCCAGAUAUGAUCAUUCUCACGUUCCCCUAUAUCGGUAAUCCGCGUGUUUGGCGUUUGCCACACGUGCGAGAGCGUGUUGGAUUUUUCCACAAGCAUGUUUGUUCUCACGUUUUCCUAUUUCCGUAAUCCGCGUGUUUGGCGUAUGCCACACGUGCGGGAGCGUGUUAGAUUUUUUCACAACCAUAUUUGUUCUCACGUUUUCCUAUUUCCGUAAUUCGCG
rnacentral:lncRNA from 1 species